UCUUAAGGUCACAAGACAUUGCCAGGUUCACAAUGUCACAUGGCCUUUAUCAAAGAGCAGUGUUUGCUGAGCGCAGGAAUCUUGCACAAAAUUAUAAAGCUGACUCGUAAAUCUUCCUUGGGGUUGCGAAGCAAAUCUCACGGCAUGCCCUGAUUUUCCCUUUUCAUUCUGGCAGUUCUAUCACAUCAUAGCUUUGCCGGAGUUUUCCAGCAACCGACUACGGUUUUUCUUCACAAGUCUCACGAGCACUUCAAGAGGCAGUAAUCAGUUUGCUGUUUAAAAGGCAUUAAAUAAUUAAGAUUAUACUAGGAAUGCCAUAAAAGAUUUGUAGCAGGAGGAAAAAUAGAUGCUUCGUCAGCAAGAAAUUGUGGAUGUUCAAGGCAAAAUAUCAUGUGACGCAGCGAUUGGAUGAUCAAUGCACAUUUUCACCCCCAUUAGGCGACCGUUACAGCAUGAGCUCAAUUACCGUUCCAAAUUGAAUGAAAAAAAGACCUCGAAAUUUUUUUAUUCUUGGAGAAUUGAUAUCCCCGGAUCUCGAUCACGAUAAUUUCUGGUACGGUUGACAGUACAAGUCAUUUUGUAUAUCCGUGGAAAAUACUCAACAUGGAUACAGAAAACACGACACGAAUCUUACAGAUUAAAAAUCAUCUCCAGUGCAUUUUUUUUCCUUACAUAAAUCUCAUGGUAUCAUGACCAUGUAAUGCUUCAGCUACUACGGUUUGAGAAAAGAGAAUUAUAAUCAUCCGCGCCAAGAUUUAUACCAACCAAGAAUUGAAUCUAAAACUUUAAUCCCACGCCCCCUCCCCCCGUGGGGUCAAACAUAAUUGGAAGCAGCAAAUUAGUCUUGAGAUGUUCCGCUCUGUUUGGAUGCCGGAAGAGCUUAUCAGCUGAUAAAGAUCUCCCGGGCACUGUUCUUGGCUCUAAAAUUAUUAUAGAAAACAAACAACCAAUAAGGAUUGGUUUAAUCAGUUCAAUAACUUAAAAUAAAGAACAACUUACACCACCAUCGGAAAUUUUUUUUUUUUUUUCCGGUUGAUCACCAUCGGAUUUUUCGAACUCCCUCACGAGAAGGAAGUUCUUAAAGGGCGGAAAAGAACACCCGGAAUCCAAACAGGGCCUUAAAUGAAAACAGUUCCAAGGCACCGAUGCCCAGGUUCAGAAUCCAUAAUAGCUCACGAUCGUCGAACUCUCCAGCCAUAUCUCUCGUAUAUUUUACCCACAUUUUGAUAUGAUAUUUCUUUGGUUUUUCAUUUGAAUGAAUACCGCGGCCAGAGAUCGACAGGAAGCUGUCUUGGGGUUAUCUUGUUCUGAUCUGUGGUUUUUCUCCACCCAAGGAUCAAAUAGAGCUGCCAGCUACUGGUCAAUCGCUGACUUCAACAAUUACUGUAACACACUAAAAACUCCUGCUUACUGGGGCACGCCAAGUUCACAAAUUAUAUCCUGAUAUAUAAUCCAUGGUUAAGCAGGUCCAGGUCUGAGAGAUCAGAAUCAAUAUUCCAUUUCUACUUAAUCAAAGGAGCACUAAUGGAUGGACACUCUCCACACAAGAGGCUGAAGUCUAGCUAUUGCAUAAAUAUAUUAUAUCAUAUCGCCUUAAAUAAGUCGUAUAAAACACAUGUAGAACAGGAUCUACUAACUUUACAGUGUCAAACUACCUACGCUACGAGCCCUGACCUGUACAUUCUGAAGGCAGUUGAAAGCUGCUCCCGAGAAAAUUUGGCAGGGGAGAAUAUCCAGGAUUUAGUUACUCUUCCUGUAUGAGCAUAACCCGAGAGCAUUUAUGUGAGUGGAGCUCCACCUGAUACCAUGUACUGACGGAUGUUGGUGUGUGCUGUUGCUGAAAUUUCAUGAUAGAGACGCACCUGCUUCUGCAUGGGAGCAAGAAUGAGCAAUAGGAUUAGUAAAAAGCUACGAUACUUACAACCAGCGAACCUCAUCUUAUCAAAUAACUUGGUUAUUGCCCCCUAAAGAGAGAGGUGCUGAGAAAAAUAACGGACUUCCCUUGAUUAUGGAAGUGGACUUCCCUUGAUUAUGGAAGUACAAAAUCCCGCAUUUACUUCAAAAAAAUGACAACAAUUAAAGACAAAAGCCCAGAAUUUUUCAGAUUCUAUUCAUAUAUCUGCAAUACAGAUCAUGAAAUUAUUGACUAUUUUGUUAUGGUCCGUAGGCAGUUGCGAUGAUGGUCUGCAAGCCUACACGUUGCUUCAAGUAUAACUCGUUCAGUUAAAUUCGGUUAACUGCAAGAUAAGGGAUUUUAUAAUUUUGAAUGACGGUAUUGCAUCUUGAAUAACUACUGUUACUCAAUUUUUUUCAGAAUUCAAUAACUUGCAAUGGAAAAGUUUAAUCUGUAGAUGAACAUUUAGCUCUGCAAAUGAACAUUAGAUUGGAUAUUGAUUUUUCAUAUAUUUAAUAUAUAUAUAUAUAUUUGUGUUCUUUUGGGCUAUAUAUUUGACACUCAAUCACCUCUUCUCAUAGUCGAGGAAACCCAAAAUCAACUGCUUUAUCAGCAAUCAAGAGACAACUUUCCUUUUAUAAAUGAAAAGUUUCCUGUCAUUCUCAAGACAACUAGCUACGGCCUGUACCAUAUCAAUAUAUCAUCAGUCAACCAUACUUUCUUUGCUUUAGUCAUAACAAAGAUAUCGGUUGCUUUAUCUUUUGGAUGGUGACUAUAAAUAAUAGAACCCAUAUAUAAUAAAGCAUGGACUCUGAUUUAUGGCACUGCUGGUUAGACCUGCAGAAGUAUGACAGUAUAUAAACUAAUGUGAACAAUCAAUAAGUUUACCCUGAUGUUCAAAUUAACAUUAUGGUAGGAAGCAGUUAGACAGUAGUAAAAAGAGGAAGCUGUGGAGCAGAUUAGAGUUUGAAUAUUGAGGUUUUGCUAAUUAGUGAAACAAUUCUUUUUUUCACGGUAAAUUUCAUAGUCUAAAAUAUCAAACUAACUUUAGCAUGAAGAAAAAAGU